rnacentral:rRNA from 1 species
AUGUUUCAAAUAAUUUAUCGCCGUAGGAUGGGACUGCGGCCUAUCAGUUUGUUGGUGAGGUAAUGGCCCACCAAGACUAUUACAGGUACGGGCUCUGAGAGGAGUAGCCCGGAGACGGGUACUGAGACACGGACCCAGGCCCUAUGGGGCGCAGCAGGCGAGAAAACUUUGCAAUGUGCGAAAGCACGACAAGGUUAAUCCGAGUGGUUUCUGCUAAAGGAACCUUUUGUCAGUCCUAGAAACACUGAUGAAUAAGGGGUGGGCAAGUUCUGGUGUCAGCCGCCGCGGUAAAACCAGCACCUCAAGUGGUCAGGAUGAUUAUUGGGCCUAAAGCAUCCGUAGCCUGCUUUGUAAGUUUUCGGUUAAAUCCAUACGCUCAACGUAUGGGCUGCCGGGAAUACUGCAAAGCUAGGGAGUGGGAGAGGUAGACGGUACUCGGUAGGAAGGGGUAAAAUCCUUUGAUCUAUUGAUGACCACCUGUGGCGAAGGCGGUCUACCAGAACACGUCCGACGGUGAGGGAUGAAAGCUGGGGGAGCAAACCGGAUUAGAUACCC